rnacentral:ncRNA from 1 species
GAGCGUUGAAGCAUAAUAGCGUACCGGGAUGCCUUGUUAUGCAGAGCUUUCAGUAGGGGUUGUGCAGUAACCUCAAACCGGAGUAGGCUGCAAAGCCGAAAGAAAAUGCUCAAA